rnacentral:rRNA from 1 species
CCUACGGGAGGCUGCAGUGGGGAAUAUUGGACAAUGGGCGAAAGCCUGAUCCAGCCAUGCCGCGUGUGUGAAGAAGGCCUUCGGGUUGUAAAGCACUUUCAGUGGGGAAGAAAGCCUUGGGGCUAAUACCCUCGAGGAAGGACAUCACCCACAGAAGAAGCACCGGCUAACUCCGUGCCAGCAGCCGCGGUAAUACGGAGGGUGCGAGCGUUAAUCGGAAUUACUGGGCGUAAAGCGCGCGUAGGCGGUCUGAUAAGCCGGUUGUGAAAGCCCCGGGCUCAACCUGGGAACGGCAUCCGGAACUGUCAGGCUAGAGUGCAGGAGAGGAAGGUAGAAUUCCCGGUGUAGCGGUGAAAUGCGUAGAGAUCGGGAGGAAUACCAGUGGCGAAGGCGGCCUUCUGGACUGACACUGACGCUGAGGUGCGAAAGCGUGGGUAGCAAACAGGUUUAGAUACCCCGGUAGUC